UGAGCUGUGGAUAGCGGAGAAAUUCCAAUCGAACUCGGAGAUAGCUGGUUCUCCUCGAAAUAUCUUUAGGGAUAGCGUCGAAAAUUGUGUAGUGGAGGUAGAGCACUGAAUGGGCUAGGGGGCAUUGCGCUUACUGAACCCUAUCAAACUCCGAAUGCCACAUACAUUUAUUUCGGCAGUCAGACUGCGAGUGAUAAGAUCCGUAGUCAAAAGGGAAAAAGCCCAGAUCAUCAGCUAAGGUCCCCAAGUGUAAGUUAAGUGGAAAAGGAUGUGGGAUUUCAAAGACAACUAGGAUGUUGGCUUAGAAGCAGCCACUCAUUCAAAGAGUGCGUAAUAGCUCACUAGUCGAGAGAUCCUGCGCCGAAGAUGUCCGGGGCUAAAACUUACCACCGAAGCUAUGGGAUACGCUGAUGCGUAUCGGUAGAGGAGCAUCCUGUAUGGGCAGAAGCUACACCGUAAGGAGUGGUGGACUGUACAGGAGAGAGUAUGCUGGAAUAAGUAGCGAGAAUCAAGUGAGAAUCUUGAUGGUCGAAAACCUAAGGUUUCCUGAGGAAGGCUCGUCCGCUCAGGGUUAGUCGGGACCUAAGCCGAGGCCGAAAGGCGUAGGUGAUGGACAAUCGGUUGAUAUUCCGAUACUACUAUUAGCGUUAUUACCGAUGGGGUGACGCAGGAGGAUAGGAUGUGCCCACUAUUGGAUGUGGGUCUAAGCACUUAGGUAUAUGAGUAGGCAAAUCCGCUCAUAUCAGCUGAGGUGUGAUGGGGAGCGAAAUUUAAGUAGCGAAGUAUCUGAUUCCACGCUGCCAAGAAAAGCCUCUAGGAAGCAAAAUAGUACCCGUACCGCAAACCGACACAGGUAGGUGAGGAGAGAAUCCUAAGACCAGCGGAAGAAUUGCAGUUAAGGAACUCGGCAAAUUGACCCCGUAACUUCGGGAGAAGGGGUGCCUACGAAAGUAGGUCGCAGAGAAUAGGCCCAAGCAACUGUUUAGCAAAAACACAGGUCUCUGCUAAAGCGAAAGCUGAUGUAUAGGGGCUGACGCCUGCCCGGUGCUGGAAGGUUAAGGGGAUCCGUUAACGCAAGUGAAGCGGUGAACUUAAGCCCCAGUAAACGGCGGCCGUAACUAUAACGGUCCUAAGGUAGCGAAAUUCCUUGUCAGGUAAGUUCUGACCCGCACGAAUGGCGUAAUGACUUGGGCACUGUCUCAACUGCAAAUCCGGCGAAAUUGUAGUGCAAGUGAAGAUGCUUGCUACCCGCGAUUGGACGGAAAGACCCCGUAGAGCUUUACUGUAGCUUAGCAUUGAGUUUCGAUAUUGUCUGUACAGGAUAGGUGGGAGACUGGGAAGCAGGACCGUCAGGUUCUGUGGAGUCACCCUUGGGAUACCACCCUGACAGUAUUGAGAUUCUAACCGGACACCAUGAAGCUGGUGACGGGACAUUGUUAGGUGGGCAGUUUGACUGGGGCGGUCGCCUCCUAAAAAGUAACGGAGGCGCUCAAAGGUUCCCUCAGAACGGUUGGAAAUCGUUCGUAGAGUGUAAAGGCAGAAGGGAGCCUGACUGCGACACCCACAAGUGGAGCAGGGACGAAAGUCGGACUUAGUGAUCCGGUGGUACCUCGUGGGAGGGCCAUCGCUCAACGGAUAAAAGCUACCUCGGGGAUAACAGGCUGAUCUCCCCCAAGAGUCCACAUCGACGGGGAGGUUUGGCACCUCGAUGUCGGCUCGUCGCAUCCUGGGGCUGAAGUAGGUCCCAAGGGUUGGGCUGUUCGCCCAUUAAAGCGGCACGCGAGCUGGGUUCAGAACGUCGUGAGACAGUUCGGUCCCUAUCCGUCGCGGGCGUAGGAAAUUUGAGAGGAGCUGUCCUUAGUACGAGAGGACCGGGAUGGACUGACCUCUGGUGUACCAGUUGUUCCGCCAGGAGCAUCGCUGGGUAGCUAUGUCGGGACGGGAUAAACGCUGAAAGCAUCUAAGCGUGAAGCCCACCUCAAGAUUAGAUUUCCCAUGACAUAAGUCAGUAAGACCCCUGGAAGACUACCAGGUUGA
rnacentral:rRNA from 1 species